rnacentral:rRNA from 1 species
AUUGAACGCUGGCGGCAUGCUUUACACAUGCAAGUCGAACGGCAGCACGGACUUCGGUCUGGUGGCGAGUGGCGAACGGGUGAGUAAUACAUCGGAACGUGCCCAGUUGUGGGGGAUAACUACUCGAAAGAGUAGCUAAUACCGCAUGAGAACUGAGGUUGAAAGCAGGGGAUCGUAAGACCUUGCGCAACGGGAGCGGCCGAUGGCAGAUUAGGUAGUUGGUGGGAUAAAAGCUUACCAAGCCGACGAUCUGUAGCUGGUCUGAGAGGGCGACCAGCCACACUGGGACUGGGACACGGCCCAGACUCCUACGGGAGGCAGCAGUGGGGAAUUUUGGACAAUGGGCGAAAGCCUGAUCCAGCAAUGCCGCGUGCAGGAUGAAGGCCUUCGGGUUGUAAACUGCUUUUGUACGGAACGAAAAGCUUCGGGCUAAUACCCUGGAGUCAUGACGGUACCGUAAGAAUAAGCACCGGCUAACUACGUGCCAGCCGCCGCAGUAACAC